GGAGUUGUGGCUCAGUGGUAGAGCACUUGCCUAGCACACAUGAGACACUAGGUUAAAUCCUCAGCACCA
rfam:Ictidomys tridecemlineatus contig059873, whole genome shotgun sequence.